GCAUCGCCGGCAAGCAUAUAUGAUAAUAUAUAUGUAAGAGUUAGUUUGUGUCUCUGUUAGGGGUGGACGUAAAAAGGUGAUAAAAAAAAAUUCCACGGAGGGUUUUACUUGAACAACUUUUAGAAUUAUUUAUUGAGAAGGGGAAGUCUGAGGAAGGGAAGGGAAGGGAAAGUUAAGGAAAAGAAAGGGAUUCUACGUGUUUGCUUUGUCUGUCAUGCGUGCGUGGGACCUAAUCCGUCUCUUUGGCAAUUGAACAAACAUUUGGUGAGCAGGCAUUGAUUCUCUUGC
rnacentral:misc_RNA from 1 species